rnacentral:tRNA from 1 species
GCGAAGGUGGCGGAAUGGCAGACGCACUAGCUUGAGGUGCUAGCGGGUAACACCGUGCGGGUUCAAGUCCCGCCCUUCGCA